rnacentral:rRNA from 1 species
UACGUAGGGGCCUAGCGUUGUCCGGAAUUAUUGGGCGUAAAGAGCUCGUAGGCGGUUCGGCAAGUCGGAUGUGAAAUCUCCACGCUUAACGUGGAGGGGCCAUUCGAAACUGCUGUGACUCGAGUCCGGUAGGGGAGUGUGGAAUUCCCGGUGUAGCGGUGAAAUGCGUAGAGAUCGUAAGGAAGACCAGUGGCGAAGGCGGGUCUCUGGACAGUUCCUGACACUGAGGCACGAAGGCCAGGGGAGCAAACGGG